rnacentral:lncRNA from 1 species
AGUGCAAGUGGGAAUACUCAUAUCUCAUCAAAACGGAUCCAAUUCGAAUCCAAUUUGAAGCUGGUUCGAAAUAAUUUCAAAAGGCUGUCAAUCCCAAACUCUUUAAGACUUUUGUACUAAGUAUAACUUAGAUUUUAGACCCAAUUAAGACUAAUUAAUUUAGAUCUAAUCUAAAAUUAAUCAACACUUAAAUCUGAUCUUUCAUAUGCUUCAUAAAUCAUAGAUCA